CCGAUAUUAAUAAAUUGACAUUGAAUCCAAUGUUACUAUAGACUUUAAGGAGACUUACAAAGAGUACUAAAAGUAGAUUAAAAAAACAAUAAGCUUGAAUUAAAAGAUAUUAAUGAACUUAGCUAUUUUAUAAUCUAAAGAGGAACUCAUUCCUGCCAUUUUUAAUCGUGUAUAACUAAAGUACACUUAAUCCUACUAAAUGCAAAAGCUUUAAACUCACAUAAAAUAUUGACAUAGAAAAGUACGUAAACAAAAAUAAAUCUUCAAAUUCUUUUCGAUUAACAAUGCAAAGCAGCAUGCAGUCUACAAAUUUCCAAAGAUAGCUUUCAGGUUUGACGACUCGAAAUUUCGAAAGAAAAAUCUCGAACUCCAAAUUAAUUCUCAAGUAAACCUUUUUUGAAACUCCUAAAACUCUCUCUAUAUUUUGAUCCAUGUUUUCUCUCAAUAUUUUUGUUCUUUUGCUCUUUCCUUUUUUCUU
rnacentral:lncRNA from 1 species